rnacentral:rRNA from 1 species
CCUACGGGAGGCAGCAGUGAGGAAUAUUGGUCAAUGGCCGGAAGGCUGAACCAGCCAAGCCGCGUGAAGGACGAAGGUGCUAAGCAUUGUAAACUUCUUUUGUCAAGGGACAAAAUCAGGCUCGAGAGCCUGACCGAGGGUACUUGAAGAAAAAGCAUCGGCUAACUCCGUGCCAGCAGCCGCGGUAAUACGGAGGAUGCGAGCGUUAUCCGGCUUUAUUGGGUGUAAAGGGAGCGUAGACGGUAUGGCAAGUCUGAAGUGAAAGCCCAGGGCUUAACCCUGGGACUGCUUUGGAAACUGGUAGACGAGAGUGCUGGAGAGGUAAGUGGAAUUCCUAGUGUAGCGGUGAAAUGCGUAGAUAUUAGGAGGAACACCAGUGGCGAAGGCGGCUUACUGGACAGUAACUGACGUUGAGGCUCGAAAGCGUGGGGAGCAAACAGGAUUAGAUACCCGUGUAGUC